AAUCGAACUCGGAGAUAGCUGGUUCUCCCCGAAAUAGCUUUAGGGCUAGCGUUAUUUUAGAUUACCGGAGGUAAAGCACUGAAUGGUCUAGGGGCCGCGAGGUUACCAAAGCCUAUCAAACUCUGAAUGCCGGAUAAUUGAUGAAUAGCAGUCAGACUGUGUGAGAUAAGUCUCAUAGUCAAAAGGGAAACAGCCCAGAUCUACAGCUAAGGUCCCAAAUGAACACUAAGUGGAAAAUGAUGUGAAACUGCGAAGACAACCAGGAUGUUGGCUUAGAAGCAGCCACUCAUUCAAAGAGUGCGUAAUAGCUCACUGGUCGAGUGGUUUUGCGCAGAAAAUGUAACGGGGCUAAGUGUUCAACCGAAGCUUAGGCAUUGCAGUAAUGCAUUGGGUAGGGGAGCGUCGUAUGCGGGGCGAAGUCAGAGCGGAAGCACUGGUGGACUGCAUACGAGUGAGAAUGCCGGAAUAAGUAGCGAGAAUUAUGUGAGAAUCAUAAUGGCCGAAAAUCUAAGGUUUCCUGGGGAAGGUUCGUCCGCCCAGGGUUAGUCGGGAGCUAAGCUCAGGCCGAAAGGCGUAGGCGAUGCACAUACGGUAGAAAUUCCGUAACCACCGAACUUUAAGCUAGAGGGACGCUUUCUUUAAGGUUAUCCCGGGCGAUGGUUGCCCCGGGCGUAAGGGACCGAAAUUUAGUAGGGAAGUAACUGGCGAGAGAGACGAGAAAAGCUCUAGUGUAUACUAAGGUGCCCGUACCGCAAACCGACACAGGUAGAUGGGAUGAGUAUUCUAAGGCCAACGGGAGAAGGGUUGUUAAGGAACUCGGCAAAUUGGCCCCGUAACUUCGGGAUAAGGGGCGCCUGCGAGAGCAGGCCGCAGUGAAAAGGCCCAAGCGACUGUUUAGCAAAAACACAGCUCUCUGCUAAAUCGAAAGAUGACGUAUAGGGGGUGACGCCUGCCCGGUGCUGGAAGGUUAAGGGGAGUGCUUAGCGCAAGCGAAGGUGCGAACUUAAGCCCCAGUAAACGGCGGCCGUAACUAUAACGGUCCUAAGGUAGCGAAAUUCCUUGUCAGGUAAGUUCUGACCCGCACGAAAGGCGUAAUGAUUUGGGCACUGUCUCAACAGCCCGCCCGGCGAAAUUGUAGUACCGGUGAAGAUGCCGGUUACCCGCAACUAGACGGAAAGACCCCAUGGAGCUUCACUGUAGCUUGAUAUUGGAUCUCGGUAUUCCAUGUACAGGAUAGGUGGGAGACUUGGAAGUAAGCGCGCCAGCGUUUAUGGAGUCAACCUUGGGAUACCACUCUUGGGAUAUUGGGAUUCUAACCUGCGACCAUGAAUCUGGUCGGGGGACACUGUCAGGUGGGCAGUUUGACUGGGGCGGUCGCCUCCAAAAGAGUAACGGAGGCGCUCAAAGG
rnacentral:rRNA from 1 species